CCCUCUCUAGCUGGACAGAAUGAGCUGAAGGGUGUGUCUGCUGUGAAGAGGAUUUGUGAGGAGAACAGAGAGGCCAAAGUGGAGUUUGAUCAGUUGAAUCUGGCAUCUUUGCAGUCAGUCAGGCAAUUUGUCCAGAAUAUCAAGAGACGAGGCCUACCGCUGCACAUCUUAGUCAACAAUGCGGCGGUCAUGUUGGUCCCUGAGGGUCGUACAGAGGAGGGCUUUGAGCGUCACUUUGGGGUCAACUACCUAGGUCACUUCCUGUUGACCUUGCUGCUGUUAGACACAUUAAAGCAUUCUGGGAAACGUGGUUCCUGCUCACGUGUUGUCACCCUCUCCUCGUCAGCUCAUGGUGCUGGAGAGAUACAACUAGACAGCCUGCUAAACAGUCUUCAGGCGGUGUUAUUCGGCCCAUGCGGCAUACUCCCAGAGUAAGCUGGCACUACUGUUAUUUUCCUCCCACCUGCAACAGAGGUUGGAUAGAGGAGGGUUUCCAGUGAGCUCAUGUGCAGUGGACCCUGGCAUGGUCGACACUUCACUCUACUGCCACCUCUUCCCCACCGCCCGCCUCGCACAGACAGCCAUCGCACACCUGCUCUUUAGGAGCCCGUCCCAGGGAGCGUCCACGGUCCUCUACACUGCUCUAUCUCCGUCUCUGGAGGAGGGAGGAGCCGACUGGAGCAAUGGGCGCACAGAGAUGACAUCACCAAACACCUACGACCCACAGCUCCAUCGCGGCCUCUGGGACUCCAGCUGCAGACAAGUUGGCCUGCCAUGACCCCUGACCUUCAACCCCUGACCCCCAACAUGGGACUGGAUGUCUGAGACCCAACACUUAGUCUGUCUGACUGGUGUUGUCUUUGUUUUGACAAUCUCCUCACCACCAGACUGUGAUUGGACUGAUGAUGACCAUGGCUAGACUUUGAUUGGUUCGUAAAGAGUUAAGUCCCUUCCCAUGCUGUUCAAAUGAAUGUGCUAAUGGGAAUGCAACCUUCUCCCUCUGGCACUGUGAACAUACACACACAUACACUAUGUUAAGGGUAUUCAUAGUGCUGCUAUGAGUGUCUGUAGUGCCACUAUGAGUGUUAAUGGUGACCUUAUAAGUGUUCAUAGCAACCUUAUGACUGUUGGUUGACAGAUCAGAUCUUCCAGAACAGAAAGCACCUUCCCUCCAUGGGAGAACUUACUUUUGUCUUAAACAAGUGUCAUCAGUGUGUGUAUGUGUCUGUGUGUACUUGUCAUCAGUGUGUGUGUGUGUGCUUAUUAUGAUGUUAGAAGCAUCCAGGAGCAUCUGGUGUUCUGAUCCAUCUGUGAAGCAUAUACUGACCCCUGCCCGAGUGGAGGGUCCAGGACCAAUGAACAAGCCAGCAUGGUAACAUCAGUGAAUCACAGCCUGAAACUGAUAUUUUCAGUUCUUGUGAAAGCAAAGGGUAUUUUGUGGAAUUCUUGCCAAAGCUGCUGGUUUCCUCUCCAGGGGGCAGAAAUCAUCUGAGAGAAGGUCUUUAAAUUGUGUCCCGCCUCCUGGGCUGUGAGUCACACACACACCUGUCUCAUGGUAUUUCUCUUUUACUGUUAGAGCUGAGUGAUGGUUUAUCAAUAUGCACAUAUCACCUCUCUCAAGUCCAGUCGUUGUGUGUGUUUCUGUGCACAGUAUGUGUAUUUGUGUGUGAGCUGUUUGUGUGUUUCUUCCAGUCAUUGGUUUGUAUGCAUCCAUAAAAAGGCAGCACAACUGAAACCAAUACUGAUAUUUGUGGCAGAGGGAGAGAAAGACAGUGAGUAAAGGAAAAGGAGACAGAGAGAUUCUUCAUCUACUCUCUCUGCUGCUACCUCGUUUGGCUUUGCUCCCAGUGCAUUCAUUGUGGGAGGGAAAUAUCCCAGUGAAAAUUCAGCAAAAUUAAGACAAAGACAAACAGUCACACACACAGAGGCAGACUGUGACCAAAAAUGGGCCCUGUCAUUUCUAACACACUGGCCAUUUUGUUCCUUGAGGACCUCAUUAUUAGCCAGAUGAUUAUCAUUUUGAGUUAAAACCUAAGUUAGACAGGCCCAGUAGGCUGGACCAGCCCAUCUGGCAAGUCUGCCCCUGUGAAGAAAAAAACAAAAAACACACACAUAUAUAUAUAUAUAUAUUCAACUGUGCAUCCAAUCACACACAUGCUUAUCUAAACAAUCAACUCAUACUAUCAUGGCCCAGGCUGGCCUCAUAAACUAGACAUACCAUAGUAAAUUAAAGUCAGGACACUCAAAUUAGUAUGAUAUGUUACAUUUAGCAACACAAAGGUUGUGUGUUCGUAUCUCAUAAUGGACAACUUUAGCAUUUUAGCUAAUUAGCAACUUUGCAACUACAUACUACUUUUUAGCUACUUUGCAACUAUUUAGCAUGUUAGCUAACCCUUCCCCUAAACUUAACCUAACUCCUAACCUUAACCCCUAGCCUAGCUAAUGUUAGCCACAACAAAUUUGAAUUCUCAACAUAUCGUACGAAUUAUAAUUCGUAACAUCGUACAAAAGGUGUCAGAGUCUAUCUAGAGGAUAGCGAAGGAGUCAGGCGCAGGACACAGGUAAGAGUAAAACCACUGUGUUUACUGAGCAGAACACGUGUCAAACUGUCAGAGUCUAUCUAGAGGAGAGCGAAGGAGUCAGGCACAGGACACAGGUAAGAGUAAAACCACUGGGUUUACUGAGCAGAACACGUGUCAAACUGUCAGAGUCUAUCUAGAGAGCGAAGGAGUCAGGCGCAGGACACAGGUAAGAGUAAAACCACUGGGUUUACUGAGCAGAACACGUGUCAAACUGUCAGAGUCUAUCUAGAGGAGAGCGAAGGAGUCAGGCGCAGGACACAGGUAAGAGUAAAACCACUGUGUUUACUGAGCAGAACACGUGUCAAACUGUCAGAGUCUAUCUAGAGGAGAGCGAAGGAGUCAGGCGCAGGACACAGGUAAGAGUAAAACCACUGUGUUUACUGAGCAGAACACGUGUCAAACUGUCAGAGUCUAUCUAGAGGAGAGCGAAGGAGUCAGGCACAGGACACAGGUAAGAGUAAAACCACUGUGUUUACUGAGCAGAACACGUGUCAAACUGUCAGUCUAUCUAGAGAGCGAAGGAGUCAGGCGCAGGACACAGGUAAGAGUAAAACCACUGGGUUUACUGAGCAGAACACGUGUCAAACUGUCAGAGUCUAUCUAGAGGAGAGCGAAGGAGUCAGGCGCAGGACACAGGUAAGAGUAAAACCACUGUUUACUGAGCAGAACACGCGUCAAACUGUCAGAGUCUAUCUAGAGGAGAGCGAAGGAGUCAGGCGCAGGAGACAGGUAAGAGUAAAACCACUGUGUUUACUGAGCAGAACACGUGUCAAACUGUCAGAGUCUAUCUAGAGGAGAGCGAAGGAGUCAGGCGCAGGACACAGGUAAGAGUAAAACCACUGUAUUUACUCCAUCCGAGAACUGAAAAAAAAUCCCGUUAUAUAACAAAUACAGAACAGGAUACGAACUCCAACACACGAAAGACAAUCACGCACAAAACAGAAAGGGAAACCAGACGGUUAAAUAAGGAACAUAAUCAUGAGAUGGGAACCAGGUGUGUAAAACAGACAAAACAAAAGGAAAAAUGAAACAUGGAUCGGUGGCAGCUAGAAAGCCGGUGACGUUGACGCCGAACAAGGAGAGGGAACAACUUUGGUGGAAGUCGUGACAAAAGGGAUGAUUGACAUCCACAAAUGAAUACAUACCAUACGUAAUAUGUUAUAUUCAUCUGAGUGUCCUGGAUUUUUGCUUACUAUGUUAUGUCCAGAUUGCAUGGCCAAACCAUACCAUUUUGCCUUGGAGAAUGGGCAAAAAUCCCAGUGGCUAGAUGUGCCAAGCUUAUAGAGACAUACCCCAAGAGACUUGCAGCUGCAAUGGGCAAAAAUCCCAGUGGCUAGAUGUGCCAAGCUUAUAGAGACAUACCCCAAGAGACUUGCAGCUGCAAUGGGCAAAAAUCCCAGUGGCUAGAUGUGCCAAGCUUAUAGAGACAUACCCCAAGAGACUUGCAGCUGUAAUUGCUGAAAAAGGUGUCUUUGGGGGGGGGGGGGGUAUUGGCUUUGGGGGGUGAAUAGAACACUCUCAAGUUUUCUGUUUUUUUGUCUUAUUUCUUGUUUGUUUCUCAAUAACAAAUAUUUUGCGUCUUCAAAGUGGUAGGCAUGUUGUGUAAAUCAAAUGAUAGGCAACAAAAUAGGAAAAAUGCCAAGGGGUUGAAAACUUUCGCAAGUAAUUGUAUCUACCAUCAGUCCUCAGAUUUUCAGGCUUAUAUGAAACUAACUUAAUUGACAUAACACACAUACGCCCACAGAGACUAGUAAAUCGGGACUGGGGAUAACUACAGACCCUGUGUGUAACCUUCCUUUAGUUUAAGCUCUCAUUCUGCUACUGAGCAUAGGGUUCAUGUCUUCCAGACAUGAGGGGGUGUGUUACUGUAGCUGUCAGACUGGAUGCUGUUUGGGUUGGUUAUUAUGGGUAGGGUUUUGGUUUCUAAAAACAGACCUUUACUGGCACAUCCAGUUUUCAGAAUAGAAAGUGUGUGUUUGAAGUAAUUAGUAAAUAAAGACACUAUAUAAAAGUCACCAUGACGUGUUUGAAUUCCAGCCUGUCGACAUCCAGAGACUGCUACAGGAGAACAGACAAGAUACAGGUAGUAUUGAUUUGCGAUGUGCAAAAUAUAUUUUGUUGUGCUGUGCCCGAACUCCCUCAGAUAUAGAAUGUGACUGUGAAUUUCCAUGUAGAGUUGAACUAUUGUUAAAUUGUGAACUGUCUUGUCUUGUUAUUGUCAUAUUUCUGUAAAAACCUUUGUUAGCUGUUUGAGCAAUGUGAAGACAUCUAGUGCUUAUACCUCUGGAGGAAAAAUACUUCUGUUCACUAUGAAGACUGUGGUUAGGUUCAAUAUGAAGACAUCUAGUGCUUAUACCUCUGGAGGAAAAAUACUUCUGUUCACUAUGAAGACUGUGGUUAGGUUCAAUAUGAAGACAUCUACUGCUUAUACCUCUGGAGGAAAAAUACUUCUGUUCACUAUGAAGACUGUGGUUAGGUUCAAUAUGAAGACAUCUAGUGCUUAUACCUCUGGAGGAAAAAUACUUCCGUUCACUAUGAAGACUGUGGUUAGGUUCAAUAUGGAGGUCAUAGUGUCAAUAUGAACAGUGUGUUUAUGUUGUUGUGAUGUUCUCCACCUCCUCCUUUUCUACCAGGCAAAGCCUCAAUAAACAUUAUUGUGCCCUAAAUGACUGUGUCCACUUGGAGACACCAGUUAGACCUCACACUCAAACCCUUGUAAUAGUUUUUUCUUAUGUUGCACCUACCUCAACAUUUCCAUGAAUAGUUUUAUUAUGUUACUGAAUGUAUCCAGAGUAUUGUCAGAUUUC